rnacentral:rRNA from 1 species
GAUGAACGCUAGCGAUAGGCUUAACACAUGCAAGUCGAGGGACGGGCGCACGGGUGCGUAACGCGGAUGCAACCUGCCUGUAAGUAGGGAAUAACCCGGUGAAAGUCGGACUAACACCCUAUAAGUACAGCCGGGCAUGCGUUCCAUUAGCUAGGUGGUAACGUAACGGCUUACCAAGGCGACGAUGGGUAGGGGGACUGAGAGGUUGACCCCCCAGACUGGUACUGAGGCACGGACCGGACACCUGAGGGAGGCGGGAGUGAGGAAGAUUGGUGAAUGGGCGAGAGCCUGAACCAGCCAAGUCGCGUGAAGGAGGCCGGUUUAUGGAAUGUAAAUUUCUUUUGUAGAGAAAUAUGUACUCUACGAAUAAGUAUCGGCUAACUCCGUGCCAGCAGCCGCGGUAAUAC